UGGCUGAGGUUCUACGCCGCCGCCACCAUCGUCACUAAAGCUAUCGACUUGUGGCAUAAUCCUCCUCUCACAAUGAUUAUGAGCACCCAGGCCCAAUGAGGUGGUGUUUUUGAUCAAUGUCAUUUUCAUCAUAUUUGCACUUAUUUUUUUAAUUGGAAUUAAAUUGUUUAUUGUGAUAUUCUUUAGAGCAGCUCAGGAGGAGAGGGACAGCACCUCACUGAGUGAUGAUGCGGUCCCGUAGCAGGAGUCUCCCGACUCCUGCUACUUUGAGGAGGCCUCCAGUCUCCUCCACCUUGGCCCCCCCCUUCAUCCCCGCCCCAUUUGGGAACAGCAGCCGCACCAGCAAGAAGAUCAAAAGGAGCAAGCAGAGCAGCUCAGGAGGAGAGGGACAGCACCUCACUGAGUGAUGAUGCGGUCCCGUAGCAGGAGUCGGAGGCAAAAACAGUUGUCAGAGGAGAGCAGCAGCAACAGCAACAGGUGAAGAAUGAGGAGCAGGUUCUGGAUGAUGAUGAUGAUGAGCAGCUAUGCCCAUCAGAUGUGCCUGCACCAGUGGCAGAGCCAUGCCAGAGGGUCUCCAAGGACAGCAAAAGAGUUUGCAGAGGCGAGCAGCACCAGCACGAGG